GCACCAGGCAGUUACAGGGUCUGCCGGAGGCUGCUGACCCAAGAUCCCCAAGGGAAAUCUCAGCACCACUCCCGAUGUUAGCCGUCCUUCACUGAUUUUUCACAGAAGAAGACGUUUCGGUGGCUCCUUCCCUGCUCUCUGGCUGCUGUUCAGACACCAUCAAUCCCUUUAGCAGAACUGGGACUGGCUUC